rnacentral:rRNA from 1 species
GUGUCAGCCGCCGCGGUAAUACGUAGGUCACGAACGUUAUUCGGAAUCACUGGGCUUAAAGGGCGCGUAGGCGGCUUAACAAGUCAUGGUUGAAAUCCGACGGCUCACCCGUCGAACUGGCCAUGAUACUGUUGAGCUAGAGUUGCGGAGGGAUGCGUGGAACUUGUGGUGGAGCGGUGAAAUGCCCAGAUAUCACAGGGAACACCGGUGGCGAAGGCGACGCAUUGGCCGCAUACUGACGCUGAGGCGCGAAAGCAUGGGGAGCGAACGGGAUUAGAAACCCUUGUAGUCC